GGCGUGCCUAACACAUGCAAGUCGAGCGAUUUACUUCGGUAAAGAGCGGCGGACGGGUGAGUAACGCGUGGGUAACCUGCCCUGUACACACGGAUAACAUACCGAAAGGUAUGCUAAUACGAGAUAACAUGAGAAAGUCGCAUGGCUUUCUUAUCAAAGUUUUUGCGGUACAGGAUGGACCCGCGUCUGAUUAGCUAGUUGGUAAGGUAACGGCUUACCAAGGCGACGAUCAGUAGCCGACCUGAGAGGGUGAUCGGCCACAUUGGAACUGAGACACGGUCCAAACUCCUACGGGAGGCAGCAGUGGGGAAUAUUGCACAAUGGGCGAAAGCCUGAUGCAGCAACGCCGCGUGAGCGAUGAAGGCCUUCGGGUCGUAAAGCUCUGUCCUCAAGGAAGAUAAUGACGGUACUUGAGGAGGAAGCCCCGGCUAACUACGUGCCAGCAGCCGCGGUAAUACGUAGGGGGCUAGCGUUAUCCGGAAUUACUGGGCGUAAAGGGUGCGUAGGCGGUCUUUCAAGUCAGGAGUGAAAGGCUACGGCUCAACCGUAGUAAGCUCUUGAAACUGUAAGACUUGAGUGCAGGAGAGGAGAGUAGAAUUCCUAGUGUAGCGGUGAAAUGCGUAGAUAUUAGGAGGAAUACCAGUUGCGAAGGCGGCUCUCUGGACUGUAACUGACGCUGAGGCACGAAAGCGUGGGGAGCAAACAGGAUUAGAUACCCUGGUAGUCCACGCCGUAAACGAUGAGUACUAGCUGUCGGAGGUUACCCCCUUCGGUGGCGCAGCUAACGCAUUAAGUACUCCGCCUGGGAAGUACGCUCGCAAGAGUGAAACUCAAAGGAAUUGACGGGGACCCGCACAAGUAGCGGAGCAUGUGGUUUAAUUCGAAGCAACGCGAAGAACCUUACCUAAGCUUGACAUCCUUUUGACCGAUGCUUAAUCGCAUCUUUCCCUUCGGGGACAGAAGUGACAGGUGGUGCAUGGUUGUCGUCAGCUCGUGUCGUGAGAUGUUGGGUUAAGUCCCGCAACGAGCGCAACCCUUGCCUUUAGUUGCCAGCAUUAAGUUGGGCACUCUAGAGGGACUGCCAGGGAUAACCUGGAGGAAGGUGGGGAUGACGUCAAAUCAUCAUGCCCCUUAUGCUUAGGGCUACACACGUGCUACAAUGGGUGGUACAGAGGGCAGCCAAACCGUGAGGUGGAGCUAAUCCCUUAAAGCCAUUCUCAGUUCGGAUUGUAGGCUGAAACUCGCCUACAUGAAGCCGGAGUUACUAGUAAUCGCAGAUCAGAAUGCUGCGGUGAAUGCGUUCCCGGGUCUUGUACACACCGCCCGUCACACCACGGAAGUUGGGGGCGCCCGAAGCCGGAUAGCUAACCUUCUGGAAGCGUCCGUCGAAGGUGAAAUCAAUAACUGGGGCGAAGUCAUAA
rnacentral:rRNA from 1 species